AGAUUGAACGCUGGCGGCAUGCCUAACACAUGCAAGUCGAACGGGAGUAGCAAUACUCUAGUGGCGGACGGGUGAGGAAUACGUAGGAAUUUGCCCUUAAGUGGGGGAUAACCCGGGGAAACCCGGAUUAAUACCGCAUGACCUCGAAAGAGCAAAGUGGGGGAUCGCAAGACCUCACGCUUUUGGAGAAGCCUACGUCGGAUUAGCUAGUUGGUGAGGUAAUGCUCACCAAGGCGACGAUCCGUAACUGGUCUGAGAGGAUGAUCAGUCACACCGGAACUGAGACACGGUCCGACUCCGUACGGGAGGCGAGCGAGUAGGGGAAUAGUUGGAACGAAGUGGGCGACGAAGUCCGUGAAUUCCGAG
rnacentral:rRNA from 1 species